CAGUAGCCGCGGGAAUACGGAGGGAGCUAGCGUUGUUCGGAAUCACUGGGCGUAAAGCGCACGUAGGCGGCUACUCAAGUCGGGGGUGAAAGCCCGGGGCUCAACCCCGGAACUGCCUUUGAAACUAGAUAGCUUGAAUCUUGGAGAGGCGAGUGGAAUUCCGAGUGUAGAGGUGAAAUUCGUAGAUAUUCGGAAGAACACCAGUGGCGAAGGCGACUCGCUGGACAAGUAUUGACGCUGAGGUGCGAAAGCGUGGGGAGCAAACAGGAUUAGAUACCCCUGUAGUCCCUGUCUCUUAUAA
rnacentral:rRNA from 1 species